rnacentral:rRNA from 1 species
CAGUCGCCACGGUAACACGUAGGGUGCGAGCGUUAAUCGGAAUUACUGGGCGUAAAGCGUGCGCAGGCGGUUCGUUAAGACAGAUGUGAAAUCCCCGGGCUUAACCUGGGAACUGCAUUUGUGACUGGCGAGCUAGAGUAUGGCAGAGGGGGGUAGAAUUCCACGUGUAGCAGUGAAAUGCGUAGAGAUGUGGAGGAAUACCGAUGGCGAAGGCAGCCCCCUGGGCCAAUACUGACGCUCAUGCACGAAAGCGUGGGGAGCAAACAGGAUUAGAUACCCCCGUAGUCCCUGUCUCUUAUAC